rnacentral:misc_RNA from 1 species
ACUUUGCAGAGACCACCUUGCCCCCAUUCUGCAGUAAAAAUCAAUGCAAAAUUGUGCAAUAUAAGAUAAAUCAGAAAGAACUAACAGUCAAAUGAAUUGUAACAUCAGUUUGAAUCCCAAUGAAAAUCAGAAAUUCUACACACUUACUACAGAAGCACAGAUAUUGGACUGUCAUUUGUGCUCAGAAGCUAUACAGGAUUCGCUUACCUAUCAAUACUAGCAUAUAACUGAGCUC